AGAGUUUGAUCAUGGCUCAGAAUGAACGCUGGCGGCGUGCCUAACACAUGCAAGUCGGACGCGAAAGCUCCUUCGGGAGUGAGUAGAGUGGCGCACGGGUGAGUAACGCGUAGGUAAUCUACCUCUGGAUUGGGGAUAACUCUGCGAAAGCGGAGCUAAUACCGAAUGGUCUGGCUUUAUUUUGAUGAAGUCGGUAAAGGAUGCCUCUGCAUAUGCAUCUGUCCGGAGAUGAGCCUGCGUCCCAUUAGCUAGUUGGUAGGGUAAAGGCCUACCAAGGCGACGAUGGGUAGCUGGUCUGAGAGGAUGAUCAGCCACACUGGAACUGGAACACGGUCCAGACUCCUACGGGAGGCAGCAGUGGGGAAUAUUGCACAAUGGACGAAAGUCUGAUGCAGCAACGCCGCGUGGAGGAUGACACAUUUCGGUGCGUAAACUCCUUUUAUAGGUCAAGAUAAUGACGGUAGCCUAUGAAUAAGCGCCGGCUAACUCCGUGCCAGCAGCCGCGGUAAUACGGAGGGCGCAAGCGUUACUCGGAAUCACUGGGCGUAAAGAGCGUGUAGGCGGAUUAAUAAGUCAGAAGUGAAAUCCAAUAGCUUAACUAUUGAACUGCUUUUGAAACUGUUGAUCUAGAGUGUGGGAGAGGUAGAUGGAAUUUCUGGUGUAGGGGUAAAAUCCGUAGAUAUCAGAAGGAAUACCGAUUGCGAAGGCGAUCUACUGGAACAUAACUGACGCUGAGACGCGAAAGCGUGGGGAGCAAACAGGAUUAGAUACCCUGGUAGUCCACGCCCUAAACGAUGUACACUAGUUGUUGCCUUGCUAGACAAGGCAGUAAUGCACCUAACGGAUUAAGUGUACCGCCUGGGGAGUACGGUCGCAAGAUUAAAACUCAAAGGAAUAGACGGGGACCCGCACAAGCGGUGGAGCAUGUGGUUUAAUUCGACGAUACGCGAAGAACCUUACCUGGCCUUGACAUACUAAAAAGCUUUAAGAGAUUAGAGUGUGCUAGCUUGCUAGAAUUUAGAUACAGGUGCUGCACGGCUGUCGUCAGCUCGUGUCGUGAGAUGUUGGGUUAAGUCCCGCAACGAGCGCAACCCUCGUGUUUAGUUGCUAACAGUUCGGCUGAGAACUCUAAACAGACUGCCUACGCAAGUAGGAGGAAGGUGAGGACGACGUCAAGUCAUCAUGGCCCUUACGGCCAGGGCUACACACGUGCUACAAUGGGGUAUACAAAGAGCAGCGAUACGGUGACGUGGAGCAAAUCUAGAAAAUGCCUCUCAGUUCGGAUUGUAGUCUGCAACUCGACUACAUGAAGUUGGAAUCGCUAGUAAUCGUAGAUCAGCAAUGCUACGGUGAAUACGUUCCCGGGUCUUGCACUCACCCCCGUC
rnacentral:rRNA from 1 species